GGGGGGAGCAAGCGUUGUUCGGAUUUACUGGGCGUAAAGGGCGCGUAGGCGGCCACCGCAAGUCAGUUGUGAAAUCUCUGGGCUUAACCCAGAAAGGUCAACUGAUACUGCGGGGCUAGAGUGCAGAAGGGGCAACUGGAAUUCUCGGUGUAGCGGUGAAAUGCGUAGAUAUCGAGAGGAACACCUGCGGCGAAGGCGGGUUGCUGGGCUGACACUGACGCUGAGGCGCGAAAGCUAGGGGAGCGAACGGGAUUAGAUACCCCGGUAGUCCUAGCCUUAAACGAUGAAUGCUUGGUGUCUGGGGUUUUAUAGUCCCCGGGUGCCGUCGCUAACGCUUUAAGCAUUCCGCCUGGGGAGUACGGUCGCAAGACUGAA
rnacentral:rRNA from 1 species